rnacentral:lncRNA from 1 species
CCAAAAAAAGAAUUUCUUUUCGAAUUUUUACUUAAUUAGCUUAAUUUUGUAGCUAUUUAUUCUUAUAUUUUUAAAAGAUAUGAAUAUUUAUGCUAAUAGUAUAAAUCUUGAGAGAAAAAAAAUUAAUUUAAUAGCCGAAUUUUUUAUCCCGAAUUUUUAAUUAGUAAACGUAUAAUAUCCGUAUAAAUCACGUUUCCGAAUAAUUGAUGAAUCCGUUUUUUAGCCGUAUUUUUAACGAAUUUAAAAAUUUAGAAGAUAAAUUUUAUCCGAAUUAUAUCCGUACCGAAUUUUUGCCGAAUCCGAAUUAACUAAUUAUGGUUGGAACUCGUUUUUUGGAUAAAAUUUUAGAUAAAAUUUUAGAUAUUUUGUUUAGAAUGUCUUGAAGUGUGGAAAAGUUUGUUUAGAAAUUAAGUGUGGAAAAAUUUCCUGUAUGCUCAGGAGUGGG